GAUGAACGCUAGCUACAGGCUUAACACAUGCAAGUCGCGGGGCAGCAUGGGGGUUGCUUGCAAUCCCCGAUGGCGACCGGCGCACGGGUGAGUAACGCGUAUCCAACCUGCCCUUCACCACGGGAUAACCCGGCGAAAGUCGGACUAAUACCGUAUGUUGUCCAUUGACGGCAUCCGAUUUGGACGAAAGGCUUGGCGGUGAGGGAUGGGGAUGCGUCCGAUUAGCCAGACGGCGGGGUAACGGCCCACCGUGGCUACGAUCGGUAGGGGUUCUGAGAGGAAGGCCCCCCACACUGGAACUGAGACACGGUCCAGACUCCUACGGGAGGCAGCAGUGAGGAAUAUUGGUCAAUGGGCGUAAGCCUGAACCGGCCAAGUAGCGUGCAGGAUGACGGCCCUAUGGGUUGUAAACUGCUUUUAUGCGGGGAUAAAGUGGCCCACGUGUGGGCUUUUGCAGGUACCGCAUGAAUAAGGACCGGCUAAUUCCGUG
rnacentral:rRNA from 1 species